CAUUACGAAAUGAACACAGAAAAGGCAGGUCUGCAAUGCCAACAUCUAGUAUCUAUCCCAAAGACCAGGGAGAAAGGAAGGAAAGAUUCUGGUUCUGUCCUCUUCCCCAAGGCAAGGCUGGCUGCCCUACCAACAGAGGCAAAGAGAAGAGUGUGCAAGGCUGGCUGCCCUCCCAACAGAGGCAAAGAGGAGUGUGUGUUGAAAUAUCCAUUGAAUCCCUGAGACAACUGGAUCCUGGCCCAUUGAAUCAUAAACUCAUUUCAGAGAAGAUGAAACUGAUGUGCGUCAAAAAGUUAUGGAGGCUGGGAAGACCUAGAAUGUGGCAUCACUAUUUGGAAACCAUGCCGAUUACCGACCGAGCUCUCAAUGGAAAAAUGCAGUCGGCGUGAACCACGCACGAACACAGCAGAGAAAGAAGAAAACACACACCACGAGGAACCCUAAUAGGACAAUACAUUAUAAGCCUCAUGGUACAUCCACUUGGUGUGCUGGGAGAGUCAGGAUGAGGACCUGAGAAGAACAGCAGCUUGAACCUGACUUCAUUUAACAGCCCACUGCCCUCUUGCCAAGAACCCAUCACAGACCUUCCCAGAAGAGAGGGAUGAGCCUCACCUAUGAAUAAGUCCUCAGAAACUCAAAUUUGAUUCUAAUGGAUUGUUUUCUCAGAAAGACUGAGCAUGUCCCCCCACAUCUCUGUCAUUUCCCACAGUAGUAACCUCUGCAGAUGCCACAUAGAAAACAAAACAAAACAAAAAAACAUGAGGUUGGUGGGCAGAUAGGCAGGGUAUAAACAAACAGCCUUGUAACCCAGAAGCUGUGUGAUAUACAGUAAACUUCACAACACUGAAAAGAUGUCCUAUCUGUUAAAAUGGGGUAAUAACAACUACCCGAAUGUUUAGGAAUAGAACUUCAAUAAAUGAUACAUUUUAUAGUACAGCAGA
rnacentral:lncRNA from 1 species